AGUCGAACGGCAGCGCGGGGCAACCUGGCGGCGAGUGGCGAACGGGUGAGUAAUAUAUCGGAACAUACCCUAGAGUGGGGGAUAACGUAGCGAAAGUUACGCUAAUACCGCAUACGCACUAAGGUGGAAAGUGGGGGAUCGCAAGACCUCAUGCUCAUGGAGUGGCCGAUAUCUGAUUAGCUAGUUGGUGAGGUAAAGGCUCACCAAGGCGACGAUCAGUAGCUGGUCUGAGAGGACGACCAGCCACACUGGAACUGAGACACGGUCCAGACUCCUACGGGAGGCAGCAGUGGGGAAUUUUGGACAAUGGGGGCAACCCUGAUCCAGCAAUGCCGCGUGAGUGAAGAAGGCCUUCGGGUUGUAAAGCUCUUUUGUCAGGGAAGAAACGGUGGUCUCUAAUAUAGACUGCUAAUGACGGUACCUGAAGAAUAAGCACCGGCUAACUACGUGCCAGCAGCCGCGGUAAUACGUAGGGUGCAAGCGUUAAUCGGAAUUACUGGGCGCAAAGCGUGCGCAGGCGGUUAUAUAAGUCAGAUGUGAAAUCCCCGGGCUCAACCUGGGAACUGCAUUUGAGACUGUAUGGCUAGAGUGUGUCAGAGGGGGGUAGAAUUCCACGUGUAGCAGUGAAAUGCGUAGAUAUGUGGAGGAAUACCGAUGGCGAAGGCAGCCCCCUGGGAUAACACUGACGCUCAUGCACGAAAGCGUGGGGAGCAAACAGGAUUAGAUACCCUGGUAGUCCACGCCCUAAACGAUGUCUACUAGUUGUCGGGUCUUAAUUGACUUGGUAACGCAGCUAACGCGUGAAGUAGA
rnacentral:rRNA from 1 species